GCUUCCGUCCCCUCCUCUUAGCUUGUCUAUUACAUGACGAGUCUUUUUUACUUUCCCUUCAAUCUGCUUGCAUGAUAAUUGCCCUCGUUUGAAAGGAGACAAUCAAGCUCGGAGGAAUGCAAACAGGCUUUGUUCUGGAGGCUGAAGACCUCCUGAACCUGAACUCCGCGAGAUCCCAGGAGUCGCGCUGGCGCAUUGAUCGCCGUUCAGCCGUGCGCACAAGUGGCACUUGUUCCCCAUUUAAACUGAGCCCUUUUAUUGUUCGCUGCUUUAUGAGCCCAAUGGUGCAUGAUGACAGCAACAGGCCGAAAAUACAACACAUGCGCUGAGGACAGAAGCAGAUGAAGAGGAGUCGCAGCAGAGCAGAGGAUGAAGGGUCCUAAUCUCUCCUCCGGGCACCCAUCCCACAGGAACACUCAUAUCUGCUCUCAGCCGGCGUCUCAUUCCUGAAGUGCAGCCACGUUGCUGCAGAUAUCUGUGCAUGUGUGCAGACUCUAAAGGCCCUCAGAGUUCAUCACUGAUCACCAUCAGUCAUGUGUGAAACUCUUGGCACAUGCUCUUUGAGAUGUUUAUUGACUGGUUCAGCUGAUGUAAAAUUAAACCUGCUUAUUAAAGUAUUUUUAUCAUGUCA